UACAGAGGUCCCGAGCGUUGUUCGGAUUCACUGGGCGUAAAGGGUGCGCAGGUGGCGUGGUAAGUUUGAUGUGAAAGCCCCGGGCUUAACCCGGGAACGGCAUUGAAUACUACCAGGCUUGAGGGUUGGAGGGGGGACUGGAAUUCUUGGUGUAGCAGUGAAAUGCGUAGAUAUGCGGAGGAACACCGAUGGCGAAGGCAGUCCCCUGGGCCUGUACUGACGCUCAUGCACGAAAGCGUGGGGAGCAAACAGG
rnacentral:rRNA from 1 species